UUAAGUUAAUAAGGGCGCACGGUGGAUGCCUUGGCACUAGGAGCCGACGAAGGACGUGACAAACGACGAUAUGCCUUGGGUAGCUGUAAGUAAGCGAUGAUCCAGGGAUUUCCGAAUGGGGGAACCCAACAGGUAGUACCUGUUACCCACAUCUGUUAAGGAUGUGAGGAGGAAGACGCAGUGAACUGAAACAUCUAAGUAGCUGCAGGAAGAGAAAGCAAAAGCGAUUGCCUUAGUAGCGGCGAGCGAAACGGCAGAAGGGCAAACCGAAGAGUUUACUCUUCGGGGUUGUAGGACUGCAAUGUGGACUCAAAGAUUAUAGAAGAAUGAUUUGGGAAGAUCAGCCAAAGAGAGUAAUAGCCUCGUAUUUAAAAUAGUCUUUGUACCUAGCAGUAUCCUGAGUACGGCGGGACACGUGAAAUCCCGUCGGAAUCUGGGAGGACCAUCUCCCAACCCUAAAUACUCCCUAGUGACCGAUAGUGAACCAGUACCGUGAGGGAAAGGUGAAAAGCACCCCGGGAGGGGAGUGAAAUAGAACCUGAAACCGUGUGCCUACAACAAGUUCGAGCCCGUUAAUGGGUGAGAGCGUGCCUUUUGUAGAAUGAACCGGCGAGUUACGUUAUGAUGCGAGGUUAAGUUGAAGAGACGGAGCCGUAGGGAAACCGAGUCUGAAUAGGGCGCCUUAGUAUCAUGACGUAGACCCGAAACCAUGUGACCUACCCAUGAGCAGGUUGAAGGUGCGGUAAGACGCACUGGAGGACCGAACCAGGGCACGUUGAAAAGUGCUUGGAUGACUUGUGGGUAGCGGAGAAAUUCCAAACGAACUUGGAGAUAGCUGGUUCUCUCCGAAAUAGCUUUAGGGCUAGCGUCGACAUUAGAGAUUCUUGGAGGUAGAGCACUGUUUGGGUGAGGGGUCCAUCCCGGAUUACCAAUCUCAGAUAAACUCCGAAUGCCAAUGAAUUAUGGUCGGCAGUCAGACUGCGAGUGCUAAGAUCCGUAGUCGAAAGGGAAACAGCCCAGACCACCAGCUAAGGUCCCAAAAUAAUUGUUAAGUGGAAAAGGAUGUGGGGUUGCACAGACAACUAGGAUGUUAGCUUAGAAGCAGCUAUUCAUUCAAAGAGUGCGUAAUAGCUCACUAGUCGAGUGACCCUGCGCCGAAAAUGUACCGGGGCUAAAACAAUUUACCGAAGCUGUGGAUACCUUUAUAGGUAUGGUAGGAGAGCGUUCUAUGUGUGAUGAAGGUAUACCGUGAGGAGUGCUGGAACGCAUAGAAGUGAGAAUGCCGGUAUGAGUAGCGAAAGACAGGUGAGAAUCCUGUCCACCGUAAGACUAAGGUUUCCAGGGGAAGGCUCGUCCGCCCUGGGUUAGUCGGGACCUAAGGAGAGACCGAAAGGUGUAUCCGAUGGACAACAGGUUGAUAUUCCUGUACUAGAGUAUGUAGUGAUGGAGGGACGCAGUAGGCUAACUAAAGCAGACGAUUGGAAGAGUCUGUCUAAGCAGUGAGGUGUGAAUUGAGUCAAAUGCUUAAUUCUAUAACAUUGAGCUGUGAUGGGGAGCGAAGUUUAGUAGCGAAGUUAGUGAUGUCACACUGCCAAGAAAAGCUUCUAGCGUUUAAACAUACUCUACCCGUACCGCAAACCGACACAGGUAGUCGAGGCGAGUAGCCUCAGGUGAGCGAGAGAACUCUCGUUAAGGAACUCGGCAAAAUGACCCCGUAACUUCGGGAGAAGGGGUGCUGACUUAAAGUCAGCCGCAGUGAAUAGGCCCAAGCAACUGUUUAUCAAAAACACAGCUCUCUGCUAAAUCGUAAGAUGAUGUAUAGGGGGUGACGCCUGCCCGGUGCUGGAAGGUUAAGAGGAGUGCUUAGCGUAAGCGAAGGUAUGAAUUGAAGCCCCAGUAAACGGCGGCCGUAACUAUAACGGUCCUAAGGUAGCGAAAUUCCUUGUCGGGUAAGUUCCGACCCGCACGAAAGGCGUAAUGAUUUGGGCACUGUCUCAACGAGAGACUCGGUGAAAUUUUAGUACCUGUGAAGAUGCAGGUUACCCGCGACAGGACGGAAAGACCCCAUGGAGCUUUACUGCAGUUUGAUAUUGAGUGUCUGUACCACAUGUACAGGAUAGGUAGGAGUCUAAGAGAUCGGGACGCCAGUUUCGAAGGAGACGCUGUUGGGAUACUACCCUUGUGUUAUGGCCACUCUAACCCAGAUAGGUGAUCCCUAUCGGAGACAGUGUCUGACGGGCAGUUUGACUGGGGCGGUCGCCUCCUAAAAGGUAACGGAGGCGCCCAAAGGUUCCCUCAGAAUGGUUGGAAAUCAUUCGCAGAGUGUAAAGGUAUAAGGGAGCUUGACUGCGA
rnacentral:rRNA from 1 species